UCGACCCUGUUGAAUCACAACUGGCAACAGCCUGGAUGCAAACUACAUCAGAAGGAAGAGGCUGCCAUGACUAGAACAUUCACUUCGGAAAAAUAAAACUGCAGCUCUCGCUGGUGAUGAAAACAAGGAAAAUGAAAACAAGGAAACCAGACACCUCACUACCCAUCUCUUGGGGCAAAAUCUACAAAUCCAGAUGAAGGAGUUGCUCAGAACCAAUACAGUACAGCUACAAAUGUAGACAGAAACCUGAUCAUGCCACCUCCCCGAAUCACCUUUAUUCCUCAGGAAGUUUCAGUUCUCCUAAGCUGAAUGUCAAAAAGUCAAAGGGCACAUUGAAGAGGAAAUGGGAAAACAUUGCACAUCAAUUCUUACCUAAAAUCAAUGCAGACUGAAAAACAUCAAAAGGAAGCGAACUGACCUCUUGCUGGACUAAAUACAACCACAAAAUGCUAUUUUUUGUUAAAAUGAUUCUAAGUGGGUUGUGUUUUUUUUAACUUCGUCUCUCAAAGAAGGGGGAAAAUAAUCACAACUGCACCCUUCCUUAAAAGGUGGUUGUACUUAAAAAAAAUUGAAAUCCCCUAUAAAAAGGAUUUUGAUCACUUACAAACAUCAAAAUCCUAAACUUUAUCCCCUUUUCUUGCUCUGUUAUGUCCUUGAAUAAAUCAUAACAAAACCCCAGCUUUAUCCCUUAAGCAGUAAAAGUGAAUAACCUUGGGUGUCAGUUAUGAAAUAAAGUAGGAGGAAGGUUAAAGGAAUUAAAUUAUAAGGGGCGUGCAUAAGAGCACAAAAGUGCCUACCAUUCCUGUCCUAUUGUUUCCUUUCAUUAUAUCAAAUUAAUAUAGUUAUUGCAUACUUUUGCUCAUAUAUAUGCUUAUAUGAUAUGUAGUUAUUUUAUGUUGAUGCUUGUGUAUAUUGUUGUGACAAAAUAAAAAAAAAGAAUUAGAAAACACCAAAAAUGCUUUUGAAUGAUUGAUGUUUUUAUUUUAAAAAGGGAAGCUCUAUUUCUGAGUUCUGUUUUCAUCUGUUACGUAACACUCAAGUCAAAUGAAAAAUUGCAAUGCAGGACGGAAGAGAAAUGGAGGAAGUUAGGCAGGCAAAGAUUGUUUUGAAAACUGCUUCAUCUUGACUCUCUCACAUGUCAUUCAUAGGGCCU